rnacentral:misc_RNA from 1 species
UUCACAUAGUAGUAGCAGAAAUCGGCGAGAAUGAAUGUCUGGACGAUUUCAGAGAGAAGAACCAUCGAUGGCCACAGCCCGUAUCCCAAAGCGGUCAACAAACGCCCUCGGGUGUCCAUGACUUGAAAGACCCAGUGUGCACAGCUCAAAAAUCUGGCAACCCCCAGAGCAAACACAUAGUGAGCUGUAAAUGGCUCGACGAUCUUUGUAUUUUGCAUGAGACGCAAUUGUGGCAAUACCGAGACAGCUUCCAGGUACACACAAAAGGCCCAACAGAUUCUGUUCAGGAUAUUGUGUGACGUUGAAGGAUGAACUAGCAAGGCUAGUACAGCACAAGGAACCACCACAUAAUACAUUGCGAAGUUGUCCUUAUCAUCCAUGUAGCUAGACCUCAAUUUAAACCGGAUCAUAUAGAUUACCCACACAGUAGUCACGAGAGUAGCAGAAUCUAGCAGGGUAUGUAUGUCAUAUUCCAUAACGAAACUGCAGUACAGUCUAACAGCUAGAA